AAGGUGUGCUAAUACCGGAUACGCUGAGAAAUCAGGAAAGGUGGCCUCUUCAUGAAAGCUACUGUAUCAGGAGGAGCUUGCGUACCAUUAGCUAGUUGGUGGGGUAAUGGCCUACCAAGGCAACGAUGGUUAGCGGGUCUGAGAGGAUGAUCCGCCACACUGGAACUGGAACACGGACCAGACUCCUACGGGAGGCAGCAGUGAGGAAUAUUGCGCAAUGGGGGCAACCCUGACGCAGCGACGCCGCGUGGAUGAUGAAGGCCUUCGGGUCGUAAAAUCCUGUCAGAUGGAAAGAAAUGUCAUAUGCCUAAUAUGUGUAUGAUUUGACGGUACCAUCAAAGGAAGCACCGGCUAACUCCGUGCCAGCAGCCGCGGUAAUACGGAGGGUGCAAGCGUUGUUCGGAAUUACUGGGCGUAAAGCGCGCGUAGGCGGCUUUUUAAGUCAGAUGUGAAAGUCCACGGCUCAACCGUGGAAGUGCAUUUGAUACUGGGAAGCUUGAGUACUGGAGGGGAUGGUGGAAUUCCCGGUGUAGAGGUGAAAUUCGUAGAUAUCGGGAGGAAUACCGGUGGCGA
rnacentral:rRNA from 1 species